GGGUAAGGAAAAAAAUAUACUAGUAGUCUCUAAAAUCUCUCUAUUGGGUAAGUAUACCCGGAGGUCUCUAAAAUAUAAAUAAAGGUAUAUUGGGUAAGUAUACCUAGAGGAUUAAUACACUUGAUUCUCGUUUUUUUUCUCUCUUAAAAAUUAAUAUAGAAAAAAGACGAUUUUUUUUCUAAACUAAGUAGUARAAAUUCUCCAUUUUUUGAAUUUUUUUUUAUUUUUCAAAAUAGGAUUAUAAAUGAUUUUUUCACCAAAAAUUUUGGUGGAUAAAGAUAAACAUUUAAUAUUCCUAUUGUUUAUAUCUUUCWUUUCCAAAAAACGGGUAGGUGUAAAAUCUCCUAAAUUUUAACCUGUCUUUUAAAUUAUGUCUUG
rnacentral:misc_RNA from 1 species